GUCUACGUAUUACUCCCCAUAACUACAACCCUCAUCUAUUUCUUCCUUUCCCGGUUUAGGAUGAGCAAAUAGUUUCCGAUUUCUGGCUGAUUUGUGGCAUCGGAGGGCUCGGCUCUGGACAGUGACCACGUUCCUUUGUCUGUUUGGUGUCUACAUGUAGACAUACAGCCUGGCUGGCGAUCUACAGGGCUCGUCUGCACAUAACUCUGACUACGUGUGGUUUCAUGGCAUGGGCUAUUACUUCUCGAAGGAGGCCAUGAGCUGGACGUCCAGUAGUAAGUUCUGCGAGGAGCAGGGGGCCAGCCUGGCCCUCCUCAGGGACGCUCGUAUAAAGGAUUCGGUGAAGCUGCCGUUUCCUUAUGAUCAGCAGGAGCCGCUGGAGGACAUGACCGAUCCUUUCUGAGUCCCUGAGCAGUCGUGGUUUAUGGAUUUCUGUCCAUUGCAGGACGACUUGAAACACUUCAUGCAGGACAGCGAGUGCCAGUGGUGUGGACAGGCUCUGGUAGACGGAGACUUAAAGUGGCUAGACGAGAUGGCUGAUGAGAGUAUAUAUUACUAUGGAGAGUACGAGCGUCCAGAGGGUGAAGAGAUGACACUGUCUCCCAAAAACAUUUUGUCUACAGCUCCUAUGUUGCAUAUUGGAUUCACAUUGGCACCUAUUUUUCGCGAAUUAUGCUUUACUUCUUUCAUUGUUUUUGGCAUAUUUUCUAUGAUGGAUAUCCAGGAAAUAGGUGUCCGAACACCUGAGGAACGGAAGUGAUGUUGUGCGUUCCAGUCUGGAGAGCACGCCAUUUCCUCUUCCUCUUUUUUCAUUUUGACCAUUUCAGGUGUUUUCCCCCCAUGUGCAUCUAAUUAACUUGAUGAAUAAGGCAUACAGUGGAUAUAAAAAAAGUCUACACAGCCCUGUUAAAAUGUCAGGUUUCUGCACUGUAAACAAAUGAGACAAAGAUAAAUCAU